rnacentral:rRNA from 1 species
UCCGUAGGCGGUGUGGCAAGUCGGAAGUGAAAUCUCUGGGCUUAACUCAGAGGCUGCUUCCGAAACUGCCGUGCUAGAGUGCGAGAGAGGCAAGUGGAAUUGCGGGUGUAGCGGUGAAAUGCGUAGGUAUCCGCAGGAACAUCCGAGGCGAAAGCGGCUUGCUGGAUCGCAACUGACGCUGAGGGACGAAAGCUAGGGGAGCAAACAGGAUUAGAUACCCUGGUAGUCCUAGCCCUAAACCAUCAGGACUUGGGGUUUGCCCUGUACGGGGCAAGUCCCGUAGCUAACGCGUUAAGUCCUGCGCCUGGGGAGUACGGUCGCAAGGCUGAA